rnacentral:rRNA from 1 species
AGCGAACGCUGGCGGCAUGCCUAACACAUGCAAGUCGAACGGACCCUUCGGGGUUAGUGGCGGACGGGUGAGUAACACGAGGGAACGUGCCUUUAGGUUCGGAAUAGCUCCUGGAAACGGGUGGUAAUGCCGAAUGUGCCCUUCGGGGGAAGGUUUUAUCGCGUUUAGAGGGGCCCGCGUAUGAUUAGCUAGUUGGGGAGGUAAUGGCGCACCAAGGCGACGAUCAGUAGCUGGUCUGAGAGGAUGACCAGCCAGACUGGGCCUGGGACACGGACCAAACUCCUACGGGAGGCAGCAGUGGGGAAUGUUCCACGAUGGGCGAAAGCCUGACGGAGCCAGGCCGCGUGAAUGAUGAAGGUCUUAGGAUUGUAAAAUUCUUUCACCGGUGACGAUUAUGACGGUAGCCGGAGAAGAAGGCCCGGCUAACUUCGUGCCAGCAGCCGCCGUAACAC